rnacentral:snRNA from 1 species
UCCAUUACAUAUAGGAGCAUCUA